AUACGGAAGGUGCAAGCGUUAAUCGGAAUCACUGGGCGUAAAGCGCUCGUAGGCCGCCUUUUAAGUCGGACGUGAAAGCCCUCGGCUCAACCGAGGAACUGCGUUCGAAACUGGGAGGCUUGAGUCCUGGAGAGGGUGGCGGAAUUCCGGGUGUAGGAGUGAAAUCCGUAGAGAUCUGGAGGAACACCAGUGGCGAAGGCGACUACCUGGACCGAUACUGACACUGAGGAGCGAAAGCGUGGGGAGC
rnacentral:rRNA from 1 species